GGGCCGUUAGCUCAGUUGGUAGAGCAGUUGACUUUUAAUCAGCGGGUCGAAAGUUCGAAUCUUUCACGGCUCACCA
rnacentral:tRNA from 1 species